GGAUUAGAUACCCUGGUAGUCCACGCCGUAAACGAUGCUAACUCGUUUUUGGGGUUUCGGCUUCAGAGACUAAGCGAAAGUGAUAAGUUAGCCACCUGGGGAGUACGUUCGCAAGAAUGAAACUCAAAGGAAUUGACGGGGGCCCGCACAAGCGGUGGAUUAUGUGGUUUAAUUCGAUGAUACGCGAGGAACCUUACCAAGACUUAAAUGGGAGUGGACAGGCUUAGAAAUAGGCCCUCCUUCGGGCCGCUUCCAAGGUGCUGCAUGGUUGUCGUCAGCUCGUGCCG
rnacentral:rRNA from 1 species